AAAGAAAUAUCUUUUAAAAAGCUUCUAACUUUUUUCUCAGCAAUAAUAUGUUAU
rnacentral:tRNA from 1 species